rnacentral:rRNA from 1 species
UACGAAGGGUGCAAGCGUUACUCGGAAUUACUGGGCGUAAAGCGUGCGUAGGUGGUGAGUUAAGUCUGAUGUGAAAUCCCCGGGCUCAACCUGGGAAUGGCAUUGGAUACUGGCUCGCUAGAGUGCGGUAGAGGGUGGUGGAAUUCCCGGUGUAGCAGUGAAAUGCGUAGAGAUCGGGAGGAACACCCGUGGCGAAGGCGGCCAUCUGGACCAGCACUGACGCUGAGGCACGAAAGCGUGGGGAGCAAACAGG